rnacentral:rRNA from 1 species
CGCUGGCGGCAUGCCUAACACAUGCAAGUCGAACGAAGUCUUCGGACUUAGUGGCGCACGGGUGAGUAUCAUGUGGGAAUCUACCUAAAGGUUCGGAAUAACUACGGGAAACUGUAGCUAAUACCGGAUGUGUCCGAAAGGAGAAAGAUUUAUCGCCUUUAGAUGAGCCCGCACUAGAUUAGUUUGUUGGUGGGGUAAAGGCCUACCAAGACUACGAUCUAUAGCUGGUUUGAGAGGAUGAUCAGCCACACUGGGACUGAGACACGGCCCAGACUCCUACGGGAGGCAGCAGUGGGGAAUAUUGGACAAUGGGGGAAACCCUGAUCCAGCAAUGUCGCGUGAGUGAAGAAGGCCUUCGGGUUGUAAAACUCUUUCAACAGUGAAGAUAAUGACUGUAACUGUAGAAGAAGCUCCGGCUAACUCCGUGCCAGCAGCCGCGGUAAUACGGAGGGAGCUAGCGUUGUUCGGAAUUACUGGGCGUAAAGAGCGCGUAGGCGGACUAAAAAGUUAGACGUGAAAUCCCUAAGCUCAACUUAGGAACUGCGUUUAAAACUAUUAGUCUUGAAUGCGGGAGAGGGAAGAAGAAUUUUCAGUGUAGAGGUGAAAUUCGUAGAUAUUGGAAAGAAUACCAGUGGCGAAGGCGACUUCCUGGACCGACAUUGACGCUAAGGCGCGAAAGCGUGGGUAGCAAACAGGAUUAGAUACCCUGGUAGUCCACGCAGUAAACGAUGAGAGCUAGUCGUUGGGACUUUUUGUUCCAGUGUCGUAGCUAACGCAUUAAGCUCUCCGCCUGGGGAGUACGGUC